rnacentral:rRNA from 1 species
GGUAGAAGUGAGGGCUUUUAAGGAAACACUCCUUCCCAUACCGAACAGGAAAGUUAAGCUCUAUAGCGCCAAUGGUACUGCAUGGGAGACUGUGUGGGAGAGUAGGACGUUGCCAGGU